ACUCCGAUGAUGAGUCCCAAAUAGGACGAAAUGCGCAUCGUGGUU
rnacentral:hammerhead_ribozyme from 1 species